AUAUUUCCAGUCUGUAGAGCUGAAGUCAUGUAUUCAGUCCCUGAGGGAGUGUAUCACUUUCCUGGAUAAAGAUCAUGAAAGUCUUGUGGGAGUUCUGCUGAAAGUGGACUGGACGAGGAGGGAGUCAGGCUGUUGUCCUAGAGUAUCAGACCCUUCUACACAACCUUGUAUCCGCACACACAUACUAUCUACGGGCUUCACAUGCUUGUCAAACACUUCCUGCCAAAAAUCGGGAGAAUUCCAAGGACUGCUCAUUAGACAGUGUAGUUUUGGACAGCCAACAACUUCAGGAUCAUAGGACAAGCUUCAUCAACAUCCAUUUGGGGAUCAAGGCCAUAUCUAACAUUUUACCAAUGUACGGUCACCCAAACAUGAGAUAGCAGAAGCUGAGGACAAUAUGGAGGAGGACAAUGACAUCAUAUUUGUUAUGAUAACUAGUGAUGGAUGUGCUCCAACUAGCUGUGGAAAGCGGUAAACAAAAUGAGCUGAAUAAUGACUGGAUAUGGUGGGUUGAAGGGAGCAUGCAGUGUCCAGUGCCAGCCUGUGGUUCUUUAGAACAUACAAGCGGAUGAGGAUCCAUUGGGUGGAUAAACACCGGGCAGAACUGGUCAAGUACCAGUGUACCCUGUGAACCUUUACCCAGUAUUGUGUUCCGCAACUCAUAAGUCCCUAUGUGUGGAGGCAUCAGAAGUCCACAAAGGAGGCCAAGGUGGCAGUGAAGGCAACAGAGGGGGUGGAAGGACCAAACCGGAAGUACAUCCCGACAGGGGGAGUCCUGAUUCCUCUGAGACCAGUCCCCGAGCGUUUAACAGCGUAUUGGGAGAGUGUCCAGCAGAGGAGACAUAUGGCUGCUUGGGCUGGCUUAGGGCCUUUGGAGACUUCUUUUGUACAUCGGUGCAGGGAUGAGGAGGUGAGAUUCCGGAGAGACGAAGAGGGGAAGCCCAUAGCCACCACUGUAACUCAUGGACUAGGAUCCACCAGGGAGGAAACCAGGAUCGAGACAGGGGACCUAGACUACCUGGACCUGAUGGAGGAUUAGCCGUCUAAUAUCAGUGAUAGUUUAUUUUGAUGGACAAUUUAUUACAAAUACAGAUAUUCUGAUUGUGAUCGGGUGAAGUAUAGGGUACAACAUUUUAUGAACUCUGAUCUCUGUUUGUAUACUAUAUAAUUCUGCUCAGGCAGGGUAAAGUUUAUUUUUGUUAUUGGUUAUAUUUGUUGAUAUUUACUAUACACUUGUUAACUUUGAUUACUAUUUGAUAAACGUUGAUUUUGUUUCACUGUUGAUACUUUACAAAUGUUAUAUAUAUUUCAAGUUUAAAUCAAUGUUGUUCAAACGGGGACUUAAUUUUUCAAAGAAGGGAGUUGUGUAGCGGGGGAUGUUCCUGUUUGUAUGUUGUCAGGGUAAGCUGACUAGUCAAGCUUUUCUCUAUGUUGUGUAUUGUGUGUGUGUACCUGUCACUGUGACCGUUGUUGUACUCCAAUCACAUGCCCUGUCUGUGUUGAUAUUUUUGUCAUGUAGUUGUUGCUUGCUUUCUCGUGAUUGUCUGUCUUACUCGUAUACCUCUGUGAGUCCUGUGUCGUGAUUGGUUGUUUAGUUUCGUAUUGGGUGAUAAAUUCAGGAUUUUACUUGUAUACUGGGCAGUCUGACGGAUUGAGUUCCUGCAUGCUGUCACUUUCUCUUCUCAGGUAUUUAUAGUUAGGUUAGGUUUUAGGUAAAUAAUGUUAGGAGUGGGCCGUGAUGGGUUUAGUUUCGUAGAUAUUGACGGGUAUGGGGGGUCGGUAUAUGUAGGAUGUAGUAUUAUUGGUUGGCUAGGCCUAGGCUGAUUGUCUCUGUUCAUGUGUUAAUUAUUGUAAAUAUUUAUGUUAUUCAUAAUAAAUUGUUAACUUUUAUUCAAGUGUCUGUUCUUCCUCUCCCCAACAAACAAGUACAUAAUACCCAAUCGAACCUGGAUUACAUCGGUAUACACAGGCCAGGGCGAGUUGGGUGCUGUUUACAUACAUAAACUGGGCCCAACACACUCCUGUUACAAGUAAAUUAAUUCAGUUCAAUAAAAAUGUCAUGUAUUAAUAGUGUAUCAGUAGAAAUCAUGAAUCCUGACUUAGUAAUGGAUUCUUUCCAAAAAAUAUUUUUAUGAAAUGCUGUUAAGUAGCUGUAUAUUUUAGUUAGUUGAUUUAAAAAGUAUCGGGGGGGGGAAUUGUUGAAUUGAUUGUACAAUUGUGGUUUGAGAUGUUUGUACAGUGUAAACCGUAUGAAUUAUAGAAUUCUUUGUGUAUUAUUGUGAUGGAAUGCCACAUUGAUGUAGUUGUGUAAGGAGUGUAUUGAUUUAAGUGGUAUUUGUGGAUUUAUUUUUACAAUGGUCAUAUAUCUGUGAUAUUGGUGUGUUGGGUAGAUUAUUUUUUAUGGUAAUGGUUUAUAGAGUGAGUGAGUAUGUUGUUGUAUAUACAUGUAGAUGUCCAUCUCAUGUAAAUGACAUUUUUCUUCAAAGUCCAAAUAUUUAAUUGGAACUGUGUGGGCAGAGCAUUGUAAAUGUGUGAGAUUUGAAUUAUUAAUUUGGUACUUUGUGGUUGCAAUUAAUUAGUUGUGUACAAUCCCGAUGUACUGUUCUGGUAUUUUUCACACUUGUCCUGUUGAAUAAAUUAAUUUGAAUCUUUA